rnacentral:lncRNA from 1 species
UCUGUGUCCUUAGCCACAUUUUAUUGCAGCAUCAAUAAAACUCCUUAGUCCCAUGUUUUGAUUAACUUGGAUGAAAUUCAAGGAGUAAAGCUAGAAAUAGCUCACACUUAUAUUUUAUAAGGUAAGUGGUUUAGGUUUUAAAUUAGCCUCCACUGAUCUCUGUUCCAGAGAAGUUCUCAAGCAUUAUGGGUGAAAUAAAUAGGGAAAAUAAUGUUCAUGAAAUACUCAGAACAUAGUCCCCUUCGAAGGAAUAAAGUCCCCUUCAAAUUUCGUCACCCUAGAAGAUCGUGUGUUUAGCAGUGCUGCCAUUUGUUCAAAACAUUUUUAGGAUUCCUCUUUUGAAUCUGUAUCCCAUUUUUGAUCACCACAGUUGCACCAAAUCUUUACAUUUUAAGGGGUAGAUUUGAGCCCAGGCAUGAAAUAUUGGAGGUAGCAGGAGGCAGGAGACCUGGUGCUUGGUCCUGUUUUUCUGCAGACUUUGUGGCCUUUGGUGGGCCACCCAGCUUUUUUGGCCCUUCAUUUUCUCAUAUGGGGCUCAAUGAGAUAAUCUGAAGGUGGCUUCCAGUGCUGAAGGUCUGUGGUCAUAUAAGUGCUGGCAUGUUUUUUUGUUUGUUUGUUUCUGAGACAGGGUCUUAUCUUACUCUGUUUCCCAGGCUGGAGUACAGUGGUGCGACCAUGGCUCAAUGCAACCUUGAACUCCUGGGCUCAAGCAGUCCUCCCUCAGCCUCCUGAGGAGCUGGGACUACAGGCUGGAGAAGCAGAACAGCACACCUGAGAGUGACUACGACAACACUCCCAACGACAUGGAGCCAGAUGGCAUGGGGUCAAGCCGAAAGGGACGGCAAAGAAGUAUGGUGUGGCCAGGGGAUGGCUUGGUACCAGACACAGCAGAACCCCAUGUGGCCCCAAGCCCCACUCUCCCUAGCACCGAAGAUGUCAUCAGGAAGACUGAACAGAUCACCAAAAACAUACAGGAGCUCUUAAGAGCAGCCCAAGAAAAUAAACAUGACAGUUAUAUUCCCUGCUCAGAGAGGAUACACGUAGCUGUUACAGAAAUGGCA